rnacentral:rRNA from 1 species
GAUGAACGCUGGCGGCGUGCCUAAUACAUGCAAGUCGAGCGAACAGACGAGGAGCUUGCUCCUCUGACGUUAGCGGCGGACGGGUGAGUAACACGUGGAUAACCUACCUAUAAGACUGGGAUAACUUCGGGAAACCGGAGCUAAUACCGGAUAAUAUAUUGAACCGCAUGGUUCAAUAGUGAAAGACGGUUUUGCUGUCACUUAUAGAUGGAUCCGCGCCGCAUUAGCUAGUUGGUAAGGUAACGGCUUACCAAGGCGACGAUGCGUAGCCGACCUGAGAGGGUGAUCGGCCACACUGGAACUGAGACACGGUCCAGACUCCUACGGGAGGCAGCAGUAGGGAAUCUUCCGCAAUGGGCGAAAGCCUGACGGAGCAACGCCGCGCGAGUGAUGAAGGUCUUCGGAUCGUAAAACUCUGUUAUUAGGGAAGAACAAAUGUGUAAGUAACUAUGCACGUCUCGACGGUACCUAAUCAGAAAGCCACGGCUAACUACGUG